UAGGGAAUCUUCCGCAAUGGACGAAAGUCUGACGGAGCAACGCCGCGUGAGUGAAGAAGGAUUUCGGUUCGUAAAACUCUGUUGUUAGGGAAGAAAAAAUGUAUAGUAACUAUAUACAAAAGAGACGGCACCUAACCAGAAAGCCACGGCUAACUACGUGCCAGCAGCCGCGGUAAUACGUAGGUGGCAAGCGUUGUCCGGAAUUAUUGGGCGUAAAGCGCGCGCAGGUGGUUUAGAAAGUCUGAUGUGAAAGCCCACGGCUCAACCGUGGAGGGUCAUUGGAAACUAAUAAACUUGAGUGCAGGAGAGAAAAGUGGAAUUCCUAGUGUAGCGGUGAAAUGCGUAGAGAUUAGGAGGAACACCGGUGGCGAAAGCGGCUUUUUGGCCUGCAACUGACACUGAGGCGCGAAAGCGUGGGGAGCAAACAGG
rnacentral:rRNA from 1 species